rnacentral:rRNA from 1 species
GACGAACCGAGCGAACGUUGUUCGGAAUCACUGGGCUUAAAGGGCGCGUAGGCGGGCUGUCAAGUCUGGGGUGAAAUCCCGCGGCUCAACCGCGGAACUGCCUCAGAUACUGACGGUCUCGAGGGGGGUAGGGGCGAGCGGAACUAAUGGUGGAGCGGUGAAAUGCGUUGAUAUCAUUAGGAACUCCGGUGGCGAAGGCGGCUCGCUGGACCUCUUCUGACGCUGAGGCGCGAAAGCUAGGGGAGCAAACGGG